AUGACUUUAGUUCCCAUGCCGGCGGAGUGCCGACCUGCGAUUUGGGAGUUUAAGGAGCUGGUCCUGGUGCCCAGAAACACUCUUGAUGGUGCUCACAGCCAACAGCGCUUCCUUUUUCCUGAGGGUUGGCAUUCAAGAAAAAGAAACUCUCAUCAGCCUUUGGCUUCCUUACAGCUUCAAAGAGGCAGCGAUAUGCACAGCCCAGGGAAAGCAGCCUUGGCUGAAGAGGAGGAAACAUUCCCAAAGUUAUUCUAUGAAGCCACCAUUACCCUGAUACCAAAACCAGACAAAGACAUCGACAAAAAAAUUUUUUACAAGACUGUAUGAAGUUGCAAACUGUUUCCUAACGCUGGAAGACAUGGUGAUGUAAUACCUACAACUAUCAGGGGCGCUAAAACAGCAAUAACAGUGCCCUCGUCUGCCUGGAAUACAGAAGGAUGGCUGAACAAACACAGAAGAAUGCAACUUUCUAAGAAAAGUCUGCUGGGAACUAGUUCCCACAUUGUUUCUGCCUCUAGGAAGAAAAGCCUGUGACUUGCUUUCUGCCUGACUCCUUAAUG
rnacentral:lncRNA from 1 species